rnacentral:rRNA from 1 species
UACAGAGGUCUCAAGCGUUUGUUCGGAUUCAUUGGGCGUAAAGGGUGCGUAGGCGGCGCGGUAAGUCGGGUGUGGAAAUCAUCGGAGCUUAACUCCGAAACUGCAUUCGAUACUGCCGUGCUUGAGGACUGGAGAGGAGACGUGGAAUUUACGGUGAGCGGUGAAAUGCGUAGAUAUCUGGAGGAACACCGGUGGCGAAGGCGGCAUCCUGGACCGACACUGACGCUGAGGAGCGAAAGCCAGGGGAGCAAAGCGGG